UACGUAGGGUGCAAACGUUGUUCGGAAUUACUGGGCGUAAAGCGAGUGUAGGCGGUUCGAUAAGUCGGAUGUGAAAGCCCCGGGCUCAACCCGGGAAGUGCACUCGAUACUGUCGAGCUAGAGUAUCGGAGAGGUUGGUGGAAUUCUCGGUGUAGAGGUGAAAUUCGUAGAUAUCGAGAGGAACACCGGUGGCGAAGGCGGCCAACUGGACGAAUACUGACGCUGAGACUCGAAAGCGUGGGGAGCAAACAGG
rnacentral:rRNA from 1 species